rnacentral:siRNA from 1 species
UGCGGGAUGAACCGGAAGCCG